rnacentral:rRNA from 1 species
GACGAACGCUGGCGGCGUGCCUAACACAUGCAAGUCGAGCGAAUGAAGUUCCUUCGGGAAUGGAUUUAGCGGCGGACGGGUGAGUAACACGUGGGCAACCUGCCUCAUAGAGGGGAAUAGCCUCCCGAAAGGGAGAUUAAUACCGCAUAAGAUUGUAGUACCGCAUGAUACAGCAAUUAAAGGAGCAAUCCGCUAUGAGAUGGGCCCGCGGCGCAUUAGCUAGUUGGUGAGGUAAUGGCUCACCAAGGCGACGAUGCGUAGCCGACCUGAGAGGGUGAUCGGCCACAUUGGGACUGAGACACGGCCCAGACUCCUACGGGAGGCAGCAGUGGGGAAUAUUGCACAAUGGGGGAAACCCUGAUGCAGCAACGCCGCGUGAGUGAUGACGGCCUUCGGGUUGUAAAGCUCUGUCUUCAGGGACGAUAAUGACGGUACCUGAGGAGGAAGCCACGGCUAACUACGUG